UUCAAUCAUCUUUUUUUGGUGAGAUUGCAAUUUACAACAAUCUUUCCUUCCUUUGUUUUCCAGCAAGAAGAGAUCUGAAAAAAAUGGCUUACAAUCUUCAACCCCUCAUCACCAUUCUUGAAGGAAUCCUUGAUCCUCACCAACCUCGAUGGAUUGUUGAUGAAAAUAAUCCACAGCCCCAAUCCCUCCUUGACAAAGCUACUUCUUUGCAACUGCUCCUUGAUAAAUCAUCAUCCACCACCAAACUAGAUAACAAGAUGCUUCGAGAACUUGAUUCUGCUAUGGAACAAGUGAAGCUCGUGGAUAAGAAGAUGCCGUCUAGCAGUUCACCAUCCAGCGUUGUGGUGGGAAUUGAAGAAGAUCUGAUGCAGCUCAAGGAUCGGCUGACCGGGAUGCAGACAAAGCUGGAGAUCAUCCCCAUCGUUGGUAUGGGUCGAGUAGCGAGCAGAGAAGUAAAGAAGAAGAGAGUGGGAGGUGUUCUGUUCACUGCAGUUUCUAUCUCUUGGAAGUUUGUUUUUUGUCCGUAAUGAGACCAACUUCCCUAGACUCCGCCACCUCUAUGUAAAAGACAGCUUACAACUGAAGGAAAUCCCUAGCAGCAUUGGAGAAAUCCCAACACUCCAACUAAUCGAUUUACAAGAUUGCUCCGAAUCCCUAGUGGCAUCAGCAGAAAAGAUUGUGGAGGAGCAAUCUGAAUAUGGCAACUACGAUCUCAAACUGAGUGCGACCACACUUCCAAAAGGAUUCGGAUGCUACGAGCUUUUAUCCUCAGAAGGAGUGCGGGAGACUAUGGAACGAGCCAGCACAUCGCGCUUCCAAAAGGAGUCGGAUACCUGGAGCUGUGCAGGAGACUAUGGAACAAGCGAGCCAGCACGCUGCAACUCAGUCUUUCUGGGCAAGACUUUUGACUUGUUGCAUCUUUGAUACGAGCUCCUCAACAUCAGCCCCGACAGCACAACCAAAAGAGGGUGAUGACGACCUCACUGCAUCAACGUUAACGGCUCCACCUCGUUGACUAAGAAGAGCUCCUGUCCGUUUGGUAGUUAGUUAUUUAUAGUUAGUUUAGUUAUUUCAUAUCAUGUACUAAUAUAGUAAGGAGUCGAGCGUAUUAUGAGCUCUAUCUCGGGUUUUCUUUGUGGUUCUUUCCCGAGAGAUAGUAGGUCGAACCGCCUAAAAAGGAAACUUGUCGAACACAUUAUGAUGAAUGAUAAGUUA